AUUGAACGCUGGCGGCAGGCCUAACACAUGCAAGUCGAACGAGUGGCGGACGGGUGAGUAAUGUCUGGGAAACUGCCUGAUGGAGGGGGAUAACUACUGGAAACGGUGGCUACUACCGCAUACCAUCAGAUGUGCCCAGAUUGGAUUAGCUGGUUGGUGGGGUAACGGCUCACCAAGGCGACGAUCCCUAGCUGGUCUGAGAGGAUGACCAGCCACACUGGAACUGUGACACGGUCCAGCCUCCUACGGGAGGCAGCGGUGGGGAACAUUGCACAAUGGGCGCAAGCCUGAUGCAGCCAUGCCGCGUGUAUGAAGAAGGCCUUCGGGUUGUAAAGUACUUUCAGCGGGGAGGCGUUACCCGCAGAAGAAGCACCGGCUAACUCCGUGCCAGCAGCCGCGGUAAUUC
rnacentral:rRNA from 1 species